GCCACAUGAUGUAAACAGAUUGCAUUAGCACUUUGUGCCAAGAUGACUUCUUAUCUAUCACCCUUGGCUGAUGGCU